rnacentral:lncRNA from 1 species
UGCGGGGGUACAGGUUAGUCGAGGAAGUGAAAAGGCAGACUUUGUCGUACCCAGUGUCCUCUCUGAAGGGGUUAGUGUGUGAGGGCUCCAGCCUGCUACUUCUGAUGCUACUCCAUCUGAGAAAGAACUUGCCGAAAAACAUGACAUUCCUCUCCUUUCACCAGGACACACAUCUCAACCUCCACAUAUUUGAAGUCUGGUGGGUCAUACUGGUCAGAGGGAGCUGGGGUGCAGACACCAGACUGUGGGAGUGAAAGUUGUGGGUGUGUUUGGAAGGACGGUGGACUCAGUGGAGGAUAUCCCAGCCAAUUGGCAGUGUUGGCACUGCUACUUUCUACCUGAUGGGUAACUGGCCAGCCGAGUGCAGGUGGGCUUUCCCGUCAAGAUGAGGCUCCAGCUGCUCCCUCCCCAAAUACACACAGUUGCACACAUACACACACACACACACACACACACACACACACACACACACACACACACAUACACACUAUUAGGAAUGUUCCCCUAUUUACAUGUAUGUGUGUCAGAGUUGAGGGACGCUAAGCAAGUAUUUUAGAAGGGCCGUCUGGUGUGGGAGGAGGACAUGCAGAUUCACUCCAGGUUCCUGGACAGAAAGGACGAGUUGAAGGUGGAGCAUGCCUCGUACCUGUGGAAGCACCUGGAACUCUGUGCCAUGAUGGCCGACUUCUUGCAAUUCCUGUUACUACGAAAACCGAGCUAUGUCUUCAUGUUCGCCCAUGAGGACAUCUCUCCCUUCGCCUCCCGGCAACCCUUCAAUACCUUCAAUACCUCCUCACCUUGAGGACACACACUGUGCCUGCGUCUCAAUAGUCUUGUAGGUUCCUCCUACUGGCACUUUAGUGAGGACAAUACUGUUCUGGUUAGCACUUGUCAUUAGUAUGUAGAGGCCCUCCAUCAUCAAAUGAAUGCUUUUAUGUAUCUUUUUUGUAUUUUAUUUUGUGAUACUGUUUUUACUUUCUACUGUUUUUGUAUGAGCUGCAAUGAAACAAAUUCCAAUCAACUGUUGAUAUGCCAGUCGCAAGAGUUACAGUUGUCAGUUGGUGUGAAUAAAAUAUUAUUAUUAUUAUUUCAUGUCUUGUAUAUUAACUUUAUCCUCGAGUGUGAUAAUUUCAGUAACUGCUACCUUGCUUUGGCUCUGAUGUGAUCACCCCAUAAAUCUGUAAGAAUGAAAUGCUAUGUAUGUAUGAUCUGGUUUCUGAAUGGAAUACUUUGAUGAGUGUCCUUUCAACUGGCCUUUACCUAAUUUGUCAAGACAACAUGGUUUUGUUGUCCUUUAAACUUUAAUCCAUACCUCUGAUUCAACCACAAAUGUGUCACACCCUGAUCAGUUUCACCUGUCCUCGUUAUUGUCAGCACACCUUCCAGGUGUCGCUUGUUUUCCCCACUGUAUUUAUCCCUGUUUCCUGUCUCUCUGUG